rnacentral:lncRNA from 1 species
AGUAGUUUCUAGAAGAGACAAGUAGCUAAGAAGUGACAGAGACAUGGUGUGGAUCCGGGUGUUCUAGCCUCAAAGCUCCUACUUGUAAAUACCUGAUCACUUCUUCGUGUGUGUCCAGAGGAAUAAAAUGAGGUUGAGAGAAAGCUUCCCCUGGAGAAUCGGCACCAUAAGAUAGUCUUGUCAGUGAGUGGACUCCACCACCAGCAAAGCCAGGACCUAUCACUACAUCCAUGUGAAUGGCUUGCAGGUGACACAGGUGUGUGACCACCCACUGACCAUUGCACUCCAAAAGAAGCAGACAUUACUUCUGAGGAACAGCCCCUCAUGGACCCUAUGCUAAUCAAU